UACGUAGGGGCCAAGCGUUGUUCGGAUUCAUUGGGCGUAAAGGGUGCGUAGGCGGCGCGGUAAGUCGGGUGUGAAAUCUUGGAGCUUAACUCCGAAACUGCAUUCGAUACUGCCGUGCUUGAGGACUGGAGAGGAGACUGGAAUUUACGGUGUAGCGGUGAAAUGCGUAGAUAUCGUAAGGAAGACCAGUGGCGAAGGCGGGUCUCGUGGACAGUUCCUGACGCUGAGGCACGAAGGCCAGGGGAGCAAACGGG
rnacentral:rRNA from 1 species